GGGGCUUGCAGCUGUUGAGUUCAGUAAAGGAGCCCUCAACAGCCAUGCUCAUGUGUUUGCUGGGUUUGCGGAGCCAAGCUGAGAAGAUGCUCAUGCAUUUCAUACAAGGGUUCCAGCUGUACCAAAAGAAGGAAGAAGAGAAAGAGACUGAGAGGCAGAGAGCCCGAGCCGCUUGUGAGUGAGCCUUCUGCUGAAAGUGGAAGCAGUCUGGGGCAAAAUAUGAAGAAUCAGGCAACCCUUCCUAAAGAAAGAGACAGCAUUUGACAAUGACUACCUAAACAUUGUGGUUUGUGGCACUCACCUCCAAGAAAGGCCUCGGUACUGUGUCAGAACAUCUAAAACAUCGCGUGGUGAUGAUCCUGCACCAUUUCCAGCCUAAUAUCAAAGAGGACAAAAGAGAUACCUGAGACUCAGAGUCUAAGAGAAUCAGAAGGUGGAAACACCAGAAGCAACAGUCACUGGAGUGAUGAACAGGGCCAGUUGCUCUCCUGCUGCUAAAUACUGUACAACAGAAUCAUCACUGUAAAAGAUGUUUAUUUGCCCAGUUAGCAAGGGAUCAAGGUUCUUGAAGUCAAAUGUAUUCCUGCUUCGAUGCUAUCAGUAAGUAAUUUUGGAGAUUUGCAUGAUGCACAUUUGGUAUUUUUGAAGAUUUCGCCAUUAUCUAAAUUAGAGACUGGGAGAGGGCAAAGCUUUCAGCAUCAGGCCAAAUAAUUCAAACUAUGACUUUAAUCUAGGUAA